AUUGAACGCUGGCGGCAUGCCUUACACAUGCAAGUCGAACGGUAACGGGCCUUCGGGUGCCGACGAGUGGCGAACGGGUGAGUAAUACAUCGGAACGUGCCCGAUCGUGGGGGAUAACGAGGCGAAAGCUUUGCUAAUACCGCAUACGAUCUACGGAUGAAAGCAGGGGACCGCAAGGCCUUGCGCUGCCGGAGCGGCCGAUGGCAGAUUAGGUAGUUGGUGGGAUAAAAGCUUACCAAGCCGACGAUCUGUAGCUGGUCUGAGAGGAUGAUCAGCCACACUGGGACUGAGACACGGCCCAGACUCCUACGGGAGGCAGCAGUGGGGAAUUUUGGACAAUGGGCGCAAGCCUGAUCCAGCCAUGCCGCGUGCAGGAUGAAGGCCUUCGGGUUGUAAACUGCUUUUGUACGGAACGAAAAGCCUUCUUUUAAUACAGGAGGGUCAUGACGGUACCGUAAGAAUAAGCACCGGCUAACUACGUG
rnacentral:rRNA from 1 species